rnacentral:piRNA from 1 species
UGGGUGUUUUUUGCCCUGGAGAAUUCAGAU